UACGGAGGGUGCAAGCGUUAUCCGGAUUUACUGGGUUUAAAGGGUGUGUAGGCGGACUUUUAAGUCAGCGGUGAAAUCUCCGGGCUCAACCCGGAAACUGCCAUUGAUACUAUUGGUCUUGAAUGUUGUUGAGGUGGGCGGAACGGGUCAUGUAGUGGUGAAAUGCAUAGAUAUGACCCGGAACACCGAUGGCGUAGGCAGCCCACUAAGCAACGAUUGACGCUGAGGCACGAAAGCGUGGGGAGCGAACAGG
rnacentral:rRNA from 1 species